rnacentral:lncRNA from 1 species
CCUCUUCCAUCUCAACGCCUCUGCCAAGUGUUGUUACCGCUCUGAGCACCCCUGUGUCCUUGAAAGUCUGGAAGGAAAGCUUCCCGGAGGAGGUGUCCUAAGGCAGCUGGGCACACGACUGGUAGUGGGACCUCUCAAAACCUCUCAUCACCAAGCCUUGAGUGAUGGGGCCCAUCUUCAUCAUUAUCCUGAGGUUACACAGAAAUGACAGACAGCCCUCACCUGAGCCUCCUUCUCCAGGGCUCCCAGUGACAAGAUUUUCCAGGAUGGGGCUGGGGGUGAUCCUCAGCACUCCCUUCUGCGGGCCUUUUCUCGGGGGUCUUUUCUCGGGGGUCUUCCCACCUUGGGGAAGGUGGGGUUGUAGGCUAGUGUAGAAAGGGGAAUUUCUGCCCUCUGGAAGAUGGGCUCACUCAGGAAUUUCCCUGCUAGACACCAGCUUCUUUUUUGCCUCUACUUGGAGCUCGGCUCCUCCCCAUCUUUUGUUUGGGCCCUCUCUUCUUUCCCUGCCUGUCUAAGCACAGAGCUUUGAGGAAAGAGGGAAGGGCAGCUGAGUGGGUGGGUUAUGUUAAGGGGUUGUCCCUGGAAACCCAGAACUUCCUCUUCCUCCUGGGGAGCAGUGGCCAAGUGCCAGGUUUAAGAAGACUCUCCUCCAUCCUAUACCAUGGUAGGUUGUAGGAGGCAAGAACAGAAGGCUGCCGGGCGGGAGUGGUGCACACAUUCAAUCUCAGCACUUGGGAGGCAGAGCAGACAGAUCUCUGAGUUUGAGGCCAUCCUGGUCUACAGAGCAAGUUCCAGGUAGCCAGGGCUACGCAAUGAGAGCCUGUCUCAAAACUCAAACCGCACGCUUCCUCUUCUCCCUGAGGUCCUAAUGGGUGAUAUUUCUAUUGAGCCUCCAGGGUCCAAGCUGGGUGUUGCCUCUGCUCCACAAGGGAAGACAAAGACCCUAGGACUGUACCCACAAUCCCAUCCAAAUAUAGAAAGAGGAUGAGAACCCAGGCCUUCUACUUCCAGCCUUCUACCUCCUAGCGGCCUCUCGACACAUCGUAUGACCUCCCCAGAGUAUCCAGCCUCCGCUCUAUUGAUCCAGCUCCAGAUUUCAAACAGAUAAGGAAAUGGUUGGGAAACUCCACAGGCUUCUCCUUCAAGCAUGUAUAUAAGGUGUAAGAAUGGCCAAGACACACUCUCAGAUAAGUUGAGCUGCCUAGAAGACCCAACAGCUGAGCCUCCUAGGAAAAACAGAGAUCAACCAAAGUGCCUGGAAGAAACAAAUCGGACCACCUGCGCUAUCUGCAGAGGGCACUCCAACCUCCAGGUUGUUCACUAUGAGCUCCAGGUCCCACUGUUAUGAACUGUCAUGCUGGUGAUGGCUUUUGGUGAUAACAGGGAUCCUAAUUCUGUCUUAUGGAUGGACCGCACUAAAUUGUCCUCGAUG